rnacentral:pre_miRNA from 1 species
AUUACCUGGGGAUCCUGGAAAAAUGCAGAUUCUGAUUGAGCAGGUCUGGGAUGCAGCCUGAGAUUCUGCAUUUUUAACAAGCUCCCAGGUAAUACUAC